GGGAUAGCCUUUCGAAAGAAAGAUUAAUACCCGAUGGCAUAGUUCUUCCGCAUGGUGGAACUAUUAAAGAAUUUCGGUCAUCGAUGGGGAUGCGUUCCAUUAGGUUGUUGGCGGGGUAACGGCCCACCAAGCCUUCGAUGGAUAGGGGUUCUGAGAGGAAGGUCCCCCACAUUGGAACUGAGACACGGUCCAAACUCCUACGGGAGGCAGCAGUGAGGAAUAUUGGUCAAUGGACGAGAGUCUGAACCAGCCAAGUAGCGUGAAGGAUGACUGCCCUAUGGGUUGUAAACUUCUUUUAUACGGGAAUAAAGUGAGGCACGUGUGCCUUUUUGUAUGUACCGUAUGAAUAAGGAUCGGCUAACUCCGUGCCAGCAGCCGCGGUAAUACGGAGGAUCCGAGCGUUAUCCGGAUUUAUUGGGUUUAAAGGGAGCGUAGGCGGACGCUUAAGUCAGUUGUGAAAGUUUGCGGCUCAACCGUAAAAUUGCAGUUGAUACUGGGUGUCUUGAGUACAGUAGAGGCAGGCGGAAUUCGUGGUGUAGCGGUGAAAUGCUUAGAUAUCACGAAGAACUCCGAUUGCGAAGGCAGCUUGCUGGACUGUAACUGACGCUGAUGCUCGAAAGUGUGGGUAUCAAACAGGAUUAGAUACCCUGGUAGUCCACACAGUAAACGAAGAAGACUCGCUGUUUGCGAUAUACAGUAAGCGGCCAAG
rnacentral:rRNA from 1 species